UUUAGAUGCUAUUUUAAGCAUUUGUCUUUUAUUUUCAAAAAGUAAUUGGCCGCACUUCACAAGACAUUCAUUCUUUUAAUUAUGCGUUAUUGGAACCGCAGUAUGACAUCAGGCAUCGCUGUCAUACUUGCGUCUCUAAAUUCUUAGAUGAUCCUAUGAAGGGUCCUUGGAAACUUGUGUGAGUGCAUUGCUUUAUUUCCCAUGAGAGAAGUAAUUGUCUCUUUGAGUUGGUUCUGUUUUCAUGGUUCUUAAUUAACCAAAUAGACCUUCCCUUCCUCUCUUCUAGGAAGAUAAUUUGAUAGGAAAAGUGAUCUGUUCUAGUUAGGUCUGAAAACAAUUAUAUGAAAUUGCUGCUUUUGGUCCACAUUUGCUUGUCGCUACUUCUCCCCCAUGCUGAUCCAAUCUAAGACCAUCUGAGCAAAUAAAAUGAUAUUUACCUCAUCUUCUGUUACAAGCUUUCAAAAUUACAUGGCUUCAGGAAAAAUCGAUACGAAAUAGCAGCUUAGCUGCUGAUAUAUACUUAGGGAGCAUGCUAACUUUUCCUGCGUUUGUUCUCAGUCUCCUGACUUGGCCCCGCCCGGGAAGAGAGGGAAAAAAGGAUUUACACCAUGAAAAGUCUCUCAAUCACAUGCCGAGGAGAUGCUUAUAAACUACCCACGGUUGCUAGCGUAAAGCGGGACGCCUGUCCAAGCGGCUAACCUUUAGCAUGGGAAGGCUGCACUACACGUCUCUCAAAGUUCAGGCAGAGGAAGGGCUGCCAACCAGAUGGAUGAUUUGAAGACUCAAAUACCACUUUCAUUUAUUAUUUAUCCCCGGCAGGACGAGGGGGAGGGAUUGGAUGCAGCAGGAGCAUCAUACCUGAGCCGGUGGCCCAUUGGCUGUGUAAUGGACACAGGAAGUGCAGACUCAGCAUGCAGAAAUUCAGAUAAGCACUCUAUUAAAAAAAGUCUUUAAUUUAUUGAUCAGUGAGGUGAUGAGUUGGAUGUGAUGAAGGGGGAAGGAAUGUGUGUGUGAGAUAUUUUAAUCUCUAUCCGUCACUUAUUAUUAGUCAUGAUGGAGUUCUGAAGCACAUUUUAUGAGGAAUGACAAGUUAGGGCAAGCCAGAAUCAUCUAGUUUCUUUGUUUCUCACACACAAACAUUUUCUGAGUUCAGACUCAGAGAAACAGAUUCAGAACUGUUAAUAGGGUGCACAAUUUGUGCUCCCUAUUUGCCUUUUUAUGACACCAUUUGUCAGAUAUAUACUGACUUCAUCUCUGGCUUGUUUAUAUAUUUCUACCCCACUUUAAUGCAAAUUUAAAAUAUAGUUAUAUGAUUUUUUUGCCAUGUUUUUAUAAUAACUGUUGAAUUAUUUUUUGACAGUUAGGACACCUCAGCAGUAGUUUAGUAUUUACAUGCCAAACUGCAGCAUUUUGGGUCUAAAGGUCUUUGCACACUGAAUCCGAAAUUCUUGUCAGGAAGUUUUGCACGUAAAAAAAUACAUAUCACCUCACGUUGUGUCAAUCACAUUUACACACUGCUUCCGAAACUUUCGUCCAUCAUACAAAAUUCGGAUCAGGUUCGAUUUUCUGCGUUUUCGCAUCUGUAGCAAGCAUUUUGAUAGGAAAGGAUGAUGAAUACGAAAAAAAACAACAACUUUGGACUCAGUGUGCAAGGACCUUAACAGUCACAUUUGAAUUCUGUCGUGAGGCUGAAUUAUUGUUCUGAGUGUGAACGCAAAUUUGAAGUCACUCCUGAAGUUGUAAUGAUUGGUAUAGUGUUUACGUUAACAACAUUUUAGUUUCAUGGCUUCAGCAAAAAAUAUGAAUGCUAAAAAUUUAGUCUGUGAUGCUAAUGUGAUUUUAAUGUGAUAAACACCUUUUGAUUUAUGACAUUUUUCCUUCAUACUUCGUGUUCAUUGAAGUCUUGGUCCAGGCCUUGGGGUGUUUAUACCUGUUUGCAUUUUGUUAGAUGCUUAACAUGAGAUGUCAUUUCAGAAGUUGAAUAAAUGCACUUCCAAUUGCA
ensembl:lncRNA